rnacentral:rRNA from 1 species
UAAGGAAUAUUGCGCAAUGGGCGAAAGCCUGACGCAGCGACGCCGCGUGGGGGAUGAAGGUCUUCGGAUUGUAAACCCCUUUCGGGAGGGAAGAUGGAAUGGGGUAACCCAUUCGGACGGUACCUCCAGAAGCAGCCACGGCUAACUUCGUGCCAGCAGCCGCGGUAAUACGAAGGUGGCAAGCGUUAUUCGGAUUUACUGGGCGUACAGGGAGCGUAGGCGGUUCGGUAAGCCCUUUGUGAAAUCUCCAGGCUUAACCUGGAACAGUCGGAGGGGACUGCCGGGCUAGAGGACGGGAGAGGAGCGCGGAAUUCCCGGUGUAGCGGUGAAAUGCGUAGAGAUCGGGAGGAAGGCCGGUGGCGAAGGCGGCGCUCUGGAACGUUUCUGACGCUGAGGCUCGAAAGCGUGGGGAGCAAACAGGAUUAGAUACCCAUGUAGUCCCUGAGCGGGCUGGCAAGGCGCAU